rnacentral:lncRNA from 1 species
GAUACUCUCCCAUGUUUUUCUUCCCAUAACAAUGGCAUUCUUCUUCCCAGAUUCGGAAGUCGUCGUAGUUAUCUCCUUGAAAAACUUGAGAUCAGUAGGUAAUCUCCAUGGCAACUUUCCAUCCUUACCAAUGCCCAUAUCUUUGGUGGCCGCCACAACCACUUGGUAAGUUCUCUGUAGGUUAGGCAUUGAUUGAAAAACUUGAGAUCAGUAGGUAAUCUCCAUGGCAACUUUCCAUCCUUACCAAUGCCCAUAUCUUUGGUGGCCGCCACAACCACUUGGUAAGUUCUCUGUAGGUUAGGCAUUGGGUUGAUGCUCCCAUUUCCAUUUCCAUUGAACAUUACAGAGGAAUCAGCAGCCAUAGCAGAACUCAGAAACCGCGAUAAACUUAAAAAAUGCUUCUGAUGAAAACAAGAACCGCACAACCAAUUCUUUUGGAAGUGCAGUGCAAUCUGAACCCGAAAAAGUAGUUAUUAUAAAUGGCAUUCACUCACAUACAGAACAUUAUGAAAUGUAUGAACAAUAAGUUGCUUAUUCGAAUACACAGGAACAAACCCUAAAUUAAAGAAAGAAGGAGCUAACCGAUAUGAAAUUGAGGCGCGAAAUUUUGAAAUAGUGAUGAGCUAAGAGUGAGUGAGGAUAGAGCUUUGUGUUCUGAUUUGAAAUAGUUGUGGACAGAGAGAUGAAACGGAGACGACGAGCAGAGAUGGCGACACCGAGAGAAACUGCCGCCGGUACGACGGAGAUGAUAGGGUUUUGUUGAAUUUUUAUUACAGUGUUUUUUUUUAAAUGCUUAUCAGUGUUAAAAAGAGGGAUAUACAACCC